UUCUUGUGUUGUUACACGACAGUUGUAUACACGCCCCUGUGCUUUCUCCGACCAAAUUGUGGGUUGGGGGCUGAGAGUGUAGGGGGGAGAUGGAAAUGAAAGUGAGUUAUAAGGUGUGUAAUCUUUAGUGUUAGCCAGACCCUCUCGAGUCAGCAUUCAACUUCACAAUGAACCUGCUCUAUCCACUCUUCUUCUGCAUGGUGUUCUGCCUCUGUGCCAGAGAAACAGUGAGUUGGCCCAGCUUUUGCUGCUUGAAAACAACUCAACAUAAAGGACUGUCUGUGAAAAAUGUUGCCGAUUGUAAAGUCCAGUAUUCAGGACUUUGCCCCUUUGAUACAAUCAUUAUCAAGACCCAUAAAGGCCGGAACCUCUGUUAUGAUCUAAAGGCAGAGUGGGUUAUUAAAAAUGUUGUGAUGAAGGGAAAAGACUCUUGUGAGGUGAUCAUUCCACAGAACAACCCCUAACCACUGAUAUGGCUUAUACUAAUGGUUCUUCAGUUAAGACUACUAUAACAUUGGACUAAACUAGUAGGUCUGGUUGGCCUAGACUUAGUUGGAUAGAAUAGACUGUUUGUAAUCUAUUACAACUUAUAUCUUUAUGUGUUAUUAUGUCUUUUUUUUGUGUAUACUGUAAAUAAUAUGUAGUCCUCAGAAUUUGCAAAGUAUGUCAUGUACCAAUGUCACGUAAACGUACCCAUGUCUAAUACAUGACCUUUAAAAAAAUACCACAACAUCUGUAAUGAAGGUUGUAAUAUUUUUAUGAUGAAAUACAAAUUGUUUUGUUUACAUUUAGCAAUUUUGUUAGGAACACAUAACUAACACUUGAAUGUGACUCCAUAUAGAUAGUAUAUACAGUAUAUCCAUUAAUGUAGUACUAUCUAUAGAUUGUAAAUGCUAUAUAUAGUACAUUAGUCACUAUUUUACUCUGUAAUUAUUAUUUAGAAGUACUGAAUUCAAUAAUAAUAAUUUAAAUAUUUAAUAUCAGUAUAUAGUAUCUCAAUUAGGAGACUUGCUUGUUACUUUCUACUUCAUAUACUUCACACACUUUUGAUUGUGUAAUCUUGAUGACUUUUUAACUGUUCUGCACAUCAUACUUUACAUUCUGCUAUUCGGGAACAACUGAGUUUAAUUUUGAGGAUUAAUAAAAAUGUAUCUUAUUAUUAAAUCUUUUGUGUAU
ensembl:lncRNA